rnacentral:piRNA from 1 species
UAACCACAUUAUUUUUCUCCUUAGA